rnacentral:rRNA from 1 species
UACGAAGGGGGGCUAGCGUUGCUCGGAAUCACUGGGCGUAAAGCGCACGUAGGCGGCUUUUUAAGUCAGGGGUGAAAUCCUGGAGCUCAACUCCAGAACUGCCUUUGAUACUGAGAAGCUUGAGUCCGGGAGAGGUGAGUGGAACUGCGAGUGUAGAGGUGAAAUUCGUAGAUAUUCGCAAGAACACCAGUGGCGAAGGCGGCUCUCUGGAACGGUACUGACGCUGAGACGCGAAAGCGUGGGGAGCGAACAGG